CCUCCUUUCUUGGCAUGCUCGUUGUUUCCUGUGAAAGUGUGUGUAUGUGAUGGAGGAAUAAAAAAAAAAAAAAAAAAAGUCCAGUGCUGGUGUCUUCGGUGCCAGAAAGUUGAUUGUUUUCUGGUUCUAUCCUCAAUCGCUGGAAACAGU
rnacentral:snoRNA from 1 species